AUACUUACCUGGACGGGGUCAAUGGGUGAUCAAUAAGGCCCAUGGCCUAGGUUGGUGACCUCCAUUGCACACGUAGGAGGGGUGCCCGCUUAAGGUCGGCCCAAGUGGUCGAGCCUACGUUAUAAUUUGUGGCAGCGGGGGCCUGCGUUCGCGCAGCCCCUAC